rnacentral:rRNA from 1 species
UUGAACGCUGGCGGAAUGCUUUACACAUGCAAGUCGAGCGGCAGCGCGGGGCAACCUGGCGGCGAGCGGCGAACGGGUGAGUAAUAUAUCGGAACGUACCCUGUCGUGGGGGAUAACACAUCGAAAGAUGUGCUAAUACCGCAUACGCCCUGAGGGGGAAAGUGGGGGAUCGCAAGACCUCACGUUAUUCGAGCGGCCGACGUCUGAUUAGCUAGUUGGUGGGGUAAAGGCUCACCAAGGCGACGAUCAGUAGCGGGUCUGAGAGGAUGAUCCGUCACACUGGAACUGAGACACGGUCCAGACUCCUACGGGAGGCAGCAGUGGGGAAUUUUGGACAAUGGGGGCAACCCUGAUCCAGCCAUUCCGCGUGAGUGAAGAAGGCCUUCGGGUUGUAAAGCUCUUUCAGCCGGAACGAAACGGUACGCUCUAACAUAGCGUGCUAAUGACGGUACCGGCAGAAGAAGCACCGGCUAACUACGU